rnacentral:rRNA from 1 species
GAUGAACGCUAGCGACAGGCCUAACACAUGCAAGUCGAGGGGCAGUACGGUAAUAGCUCGCUACUAUUGAUGGCGACCGGCGCACGGGUGAGUAACACGUAUGCAACCUGCCUGUAAGCGGGGGAUAACCCAGAGAAGUCUGGCCCAAUACCGCAUAAUAUCAUCGUUUCGCCUGUUACUAAGAUUAAAUAUUCAUUGUUUACCGAUGGGCUUGCGUCUGAUUAGCUAGUUGGCGGGGUACCAGUCCACCAAGGCGACGAUCAGUAGGGGUUCGGAGAAGAAGGACCCCCACAUUGGAACUGAGACACGGUCCAAACUCCUACGGGAGAGAGCAGAGAGGAAUAUUGGUCAAUGGACGAGAGUCUGAACCAGCCAUGUCGCGUGAAGGACGACGGUCCUAUGGAUUGUAAACUUCUUUUAUAUGGGAAUAAAGUGUGGGACGUGACCCAUUUUGGAUGUACCAUUAUGAAUAAGCAUCGGCUAACUCCGUGCCAGCAGCCGCGGUAAUAC